AUACAGAGGGUGCGAGCGUUAAUCGGAUUUACUGGGCGUAAAGCGUGCGUAGGUGGUUGGGUAAGUCAGAUGUGAAAGCCCCGGGCUUAACCUGGGAACUGCAUUUGAUACUGCCUAGCUAGAGUUUGGUAGAGGGAAGUGGAAUUCCAGGUGUGGCGGUGAAAUGCGUAGAUAUCUGGAGGAACACCAGUGGCGAAAGCGGCUUCCUGGACCGAAACUGACACUGAGGCACGAAAGCGUGGGGAGCAAACAGGAUUAGAAACCCCGGUAGUCC
rnacentral:rRNA from 1 species